UGCCAUCACCAAAAUUAUAGUAUAGUUUAGUUUAGUACUAGUUAAACAUAUGAUCAAUUGAACAAUGAAGAUAAAGUGAGGAAUACCAGUCAUAGAUAAGAAAAUUAACUGCAUGUAAGUAAACAAAUCAUGAAUGUCUUUGAAUAUCAGCUGUUUGAGUUUCUCAUCAGCAUCUGAGAUUACUUGUUUUUUUUUACUCACUUUAUAGGCUUAAUAUGGUUAGUAUAGAUAAGGUAAUUAUGUUAUUCAAGUCUCUUCAGUUUGAGAUCAGUUUGAUAUGAAAGGUAGAAGUUGAGGUUUGGUAAGGGCUACACCAAUUUUCACAUGUUCAUGAAUAAGGGCCAUUCACUAAAAUGAGAAUAAGUGUUGUACCUUUAUGUGACUUUUCAAUGAGAGAGUAAUUCAUUUUCAACAUUUAAUAACUUCACUUUAUAAAUUAGGUAAUAUAGUUGUAAAUGAAUUAAAUGUGACCUUUAAGCUUGAAAGCAUUGCCAAAUUUAUGGCUUCAAUUACCUUCUGAAGGCUACCGGCACAAUACCAGCUCUAUAUUCAGCAAUUUGAAGGAAGGCAGGUUCAGCCAUAUCAAAGUGUUGCAAAGGUGGGUUGCACCAACCACCAUUGUUGUUAGGCAAAGAUGGAUUUGGGGGGCAGAAGUUAGUAGCAGUGACUGUAAUAGUGCCAGGUUUGCACCAUCUUGGGUCAUCAUCACAUCUCAUUUCAAAGCAAGAACCACAGCUUAAGCCAUUGUUGAACAAAGCAGUGCUAAGAGCCACAGUGUCUGUU
rnacentral:lncRNA from 1 species